UACCUACAUGGGUCAGUUUUGGGUUUAUUUGGGCCUUGAAAAUAAGAUUUGUUAAUUCUACUGAAUUGCUUCUUCUCUGCUCCCGCCGUCACACCGCCGUUACCGGCAGCGAGUAAAAAUCUCCGCCGCCGUCAACCUCCACCGUUGCUCCGUCAUCUCACUGCAACUCCCCCACAUCUACCGUGAAUCAAAGUUAACGGAAUAGAGAAAAGCCUCCAUCUUUGCUCCGUCAUCUUACUGUAACUCCUCCUUCUCCGUCGUCACACUGCCGUCGCGGCGAAUCCACUCAAAUUAUGCAAAAUAUGGAAGUAGAGAGAGUUUUUAUUGGAGCAGGGUGUAAUAGAGUAGUGAAUAACGUUUCAUGGGGUGCUUCUGGUUUAGUUUCUUUUGGUGCCCAAAAUGCUGUAGCUAUUUUCUGUCCAAAGACAGCUCAAAUCUUGACUACACUACCUGGUCAUAAAGCUUCUGUGAAUUGUACCCUUUGGCUUCCCAAUAGCAAGUUUGCAUUCAAAGCUAAGCAGCUGGAACAACAUUUUUGCUUUCUGGAGAUGCGGAAGGUGUAAUAAUUUUGUGGGAGUAUUCUCUUGUGGAUGUGAAGUUCGGGGAUCGAUGAACUGGGAAGAGAUUGGCUGCACUUAGAAAUCCUUGAUGUCAAUAUCUUGGACUAGUUCUUAUGGAGUUUCACCAUAUAUAAAGCAUGAUUACUGUCAGUUUUAUGUACAUAAUUUUGCUCCAAGAAUGCUGUGAUGCAUCACUUGUUGGUCUUCUUUGAGUGAUAAAUGGUUGUCCAAAAGCUACAAACAAUGUAUUUGUCAUUUGAUAAAGUCAAUCUUGGCAUGACCUUCUUUCA